UUCAGCAAAAUUUGAAAAGUAUUUUAAAGUACAUCUUUGCAUCCUUAUUUCAUCCUAAGCAUUCCUAUGCCAUAUUUAAGGCAUCUUAAUGAGGAUAAUGUUAUAGAACCACAACAAGUCAAGAUAGAGACUAGUUAUUCCCAAGUGUGUAACUUAGUGUGUGUUCAUUCUGCAACUGUGUAGGGUUGGCAUCCGAGGACGCUCAUUAGCUUGCCUAUAGCCCAGUACUUUGUGAGAACAAUGUUGUAAAGAUAUGUUCAAUUAUGAUUAUUUUCUGAACGAUUGACUGUACUACUUUCUGAAAUAGUAUUGCUUACUGAAUGAAUGUUUGUCCUAUUUGUAAACUGGACUUAUGGCAUCCAUAGCAACUUACUGUUACUGUUACUGCUAGUACUACUGCACUGUACUGUACUGCUACUGUCAUAGAGAUCUCUGUCGGUUCCAAUAUUUGGAAUUAAUACUGUAUACUGUUUUGAUGGCCAUCAACUGACUGUUAGGUCUAUUAAGACCUAUUGUUUACUGUACUGUUUUGCUAUGGGAUGUACCACAUAUGACUACUAUGGCUUCUCAAUGACUGUUCUGACAUGAACUGUUAGCCACUGAUUGAAUAAUUGAUCUAUUGAUGAAAUUGACUAUUUUGAUUACUGAAAGGACAUUCAUUCUUAACCCCUUUACGCAUUUGUUAUUCAUUGGGCUUUAGCUCACUGAUUAUAUUUAUAUGUAGGUGUCCAGGCACCAGACCGAGGCUAGGAGCGUCGAGUUAAGCUCUCAUUUUGUCAAGCCAACCAUUGUGCCUCACUUCGAGGUUCCGAGUCUGUUCAAGCUAAAGCUGUUUUUGGAUAUGUCUCGAAAUGCUGUAUUUUGAAAACUAUUCUGGUGAUGCUGAGAGUAGCAUUGUGAGAGAGACAUGGGCAAGACUCAUUGAUCAAGCUGUUUCAAGGGGUGGCAUUGCUGAAGCUUGUGCAGUACUAAAGAGGGUUGGUUCCCAUGUUUAUCCCGGAGAUAGAGCUGUUUUACCUUUAGAUACGUUGUGCCUUCACCUUGAGAAGGCUGCACUGGAGCGAUUGGUUUCAGGGGUUGAAUCUGUUGGAGAUGACGAUGUCAAGGGCUCUUCUUGCUGCCUGUAAGGGUGCAAUAGAACCUGUCUUGAAUACUUACGACCAGCUGUUAUCAACUGGGGCAAUUUUGCCAUCACCAAAUUUGAGAUUGUGUCUCCUCCGUUCAGUGCUGGUAAUACUUCGUGAGUAGGCAAUGUCUGUAUUUGCACAGAGAAUGAGUACAAGUACUACCGGAGCAUCUCUCAUUCUUGGUGGAACAUUCUCACUGGAGCAAACAACAAUAUUUAACGAAGGGGUUCGUGACAAGAUCACGAGUGCAGCGAACAGGUAUAUGACUGAAGUGCGGAGGUUGGCUCUUCCCCAGAUCCAAACAGAUGCUGUCUACCGAGGUUUUCGAGAAUUUGAAGAGUCGCUUUUAAGUCCUCUUUCUUUCGAGCGAUUUUGAUUGUUCUCAUUAGAUGUCUGGUGUAUGAUGAUUAAUGUUUGUUUCUGCAUAUUUAUUCGGCAAUAAAAGCAUUGUAUUUUAGUGUAUCAGACAGCAUCAAAUGACAUACAAGAUCUAAUUUUAGAUGUGUAACAGUGAUCUCAGAGAAGCAUACAACAAUAUUCAACCGACUUGGAUUCCUUUCGUCUCACAUCAACGGCUGUCUGUUGGGGCUGGAACUCCGGUAACAAGAGCGGAACUACUGCUGGAAGGUAUGGUUCAUAUGUUAACAGAGGCAAUUAUUGCUGGGGUUGUAGUGCAAUGGCCCACUCUCAAAGUGAAAAUGGAUUUGUUUCCAUUAUUCUGAAAUAGCGGGUCCCUCAAUCAAGGUAAUAUUUCCAUCAUUUGUAGAAUUUUUUCUUCUUCUUGGGAUUGGAAAUACAGUUUAUAUAUCUAGUCUACUCCUAAAUAUGUGGGGGUAGGGGAGCUUCUAAGCGUUGGUUGUAGAUUGAACCUACAACAGAUGACAAAUUGUGCAGAUAUAAGUUAAGGGCGCUAUCACCCAACUUCGCCUCCGAUGAGAUUUGAACUAUCAACCUCUCGUAUAUGAAAGGCGGGGAGAUGUAGUUGGAUUAGAACUCCGUUGGCUUAUUAGGUUUGAUUCAUGAUUUGUGGAAAAGUUAAGAAAGAACAACCGAAAGAAGUUGAAUUUGUUUCUUUCAUUUGGUUUUCCUAAUUCAAUUUCAAUAUCCAAAUAUGGCGUAUUGUUCAAAUACUUUGAAAGUGUGAACAAAAUUGAGCGCAUCAUUUGUAGAAUUCUUGAAGUACAUGGACAAGAGGAAAAGAUAAAUAA